AGUGAACGCUGGCGGUAGGCCUAACACAUGCAAGUCGAACGGCAGCACAGUAAGAGCUUGCUCUUACGGGUGGCGAGUGGCGGACGGGUGAGGAAUACAUCGGAAUCUACUUUUUCGUGGGGGAUAACGUAGGGAAACUUACGCUAAUACCGCAUACGACCUACGGGUGAAAGCAGGGGAUCUUCGGACCUUGCGCGAUUGAAUGAGCCGAUGUCGGAUUAGCUAGUUGGCGGGGUAAAGGCCCACCAAGGCGACGAUCCGUAGCUGGUCUGAGAGGAUGAUCAGCCACCCUGGAACUGAGACACGGUCCAGACUCCUACGGGAGGCAGCAGUGGGGAAUAUUGGACAAUGGGCGCAAGCCUGAUCCAGCCAUACCGCGUGGGUGAAGAAGGCCUUCGGGUUGUAAAGCCCUUUUGUUGGGAAAGAAAAGCAGCAGGUUAAUACCCCGCUGUUCUGACGGUGCCCAAAGAAUAAGCACCGGCUAACUUCGUG
rnacentral:rRNA from 1 species